rnacentral:rRNA from 1 species
CCUACGGGAAGCAGCAGUGAGGAAUAUUGGUCAAUGGACGAGAGUCUGAACCAGCCAAGUAGCGUGAAGGAUGACUGCCCUAUGGGUUGUAAACUUCUUUUAUAUGGGAAUAAAAUGUUCCACGUGUGGGAUUUUGUAUGUACCAUAUGAAUAAGGAUCGGCUAACUCCGUGCCAGCAGCCGCGGUAAUACGGAGGAUCCGAGCGUUAUCCGGAUUUAUUGGGUUUAAAGGGAGCGUAGGUGGAUUGUUAAGUCCGUUGUGAAAGUUUGCGGCUCAACCGUAAAAUUGCAGUUGAAACUGGCAGUCUUGAGUACAGUAGAGGUGGGCGGAAUUCGUGGUGUAGCGGUGAAAUGCUUAGAUAUCACGAAGAACUCCGAUUGCGAAGGCAGUUCACUGGACUGCAACUGACACUGAGGCUCGAAAGUGUGGGUAUCAAACAGGAUUAGAUACCCUUGUAGUC